UCUGCACACUGAAAAUCACUUGUCACUCAAUACAUAUGGAAUGAGUAAAUAAAGUUGGUAGGGUCUAAACUCAAGACCAUCUAGUCUGACCCCAGAACCUCUACUUCUAACCUUUCACAGCAAACACAGUGAAUAUUUUUUGCUUCUAAUAUAAAAGUAUUCUGUGUUUAAGUUUUACUAUUUAAUUUCCACAAGGGCAUAGGUCUUUUUAGUUAUAGCUCCCAAAUGUCUGGAACUAUUUUGAAUCACAUUAAGGGCAAUAAAUACACAAAUCAUUGGAAGAUGCAAUAAAAGUUGGCAGCAGCUGAAUAACAUUAUACCC
rnacentral:lncRNA from 1 species